GAGGUGCGAAAAUUGGCGUGACACGCAGAGGUGAGCGUCGAGUGCUUGAAUGCAGCGUGCACCGUGACGGUGUGUCUGUCUGGGUGUGUGUUCUUCUAAGAAUUCUUGUGUGCGCUGUGGACGCGUUUAGAUUCCUAAACCCGCAGUGUCAAUCGUCGGUGUGCAGCGAAUAGACGUCGACUGUGUGCAGUAUUGUCCUCACCCCAGAUCAGAUACGACUACCCGCUGAACUUAA
rnacentral:misc_RNA from 1 species